AAGGAACAUAAUAUUGAAAGUCAGCUAUACUCUUGGCAAUGAAGUGUAUAAUUGGUUUCGACAACUAAGAUGUAGCAUUUUUUACAGACUUUUUAGAUUUGGUGAAGAUGGUAUCUUCUUCAACCGAAAAGGUCGGCGGUCUUAGUUUAUCUAGAGGAACUACAGAGCGACAAUGAAGAAUUCACAACCUUCUCUUUAUCUUUAAUUUCUCGUAAUGUGCAAAUGUAAAAACGGAUAAUUUGCGCGGAAAGUUUGCACUGAACCGCUUCAUGUCACUUAUGUAAACAACAUUCCUCAGGUUUGACUUGUUUGAGCUCUAAUAAAAAUUGGAUGACAA
rnacentral:sRNA from 1 species